rnacentral:rRNA from 1 species
UACGAAGGGGGCUAGCGUUGUUCGGAUUUACUGGGCGUAAAGCGCACGUAGGCGGGUUGUUAAGUCAGGGGUGAAAUCCUGGAGCUCAACUCCAGAACUGCCUUUGAUACUGGCAACCUAGAGGCUGGAAGAGGUUAGUGGAAUUCCCAGUGUAGAGGUGAAAUUCGUAGAUAUCGGGAGGAACACCAGUGGCGAAGGCGGCGAUCUGGGAAGAUACUGACGCUGAGGUGCGAAAGCGUGGGGAGCAAACAGG